rnacentral:rRNA from 1 species
CCUACGGGUGGCAGCAGUGGGGAAUAUUGCACAAUGGGGGAAACCCUGAUGCAGCGACGCCGCGUGAGCGAUGAAGUAUUUCGGUAUGUAAAGCUCUAUCAGCAGGGAAGAAGAUGACGGUACCUGACUAAGAAGCCCCGGCUAACUACGUGCCAGCAGCCGAGGUAAUACGGAGGGGGCAAGCGUUAUCCGGAUUUACUGGGGGUAAAGGGAGCGUAGACGGCGGUGCAAUCCAGAUGUGAAAGGCCGGGGCCCAACCCCGGGACUGCAUUUGGAACUGUGUGGCUGGAGUGUCGGAGAGGCGGGCGGAAUUCCUAGUGUAGCGGUGAAAUGCGUAGAUAUUAGGAGGAACACCAGUGGCGAAGGCGGCCUGCUGGACGAUGACUGACGUUGAGGCUCGAAAGCGUGGGGAGCAAACAGGAUUAGAUACCCCUGUAGUC